ACUGGACUCAGCACUGGCACAGAGGCAGCACAGCUAUGUGGGAAGAACACAGGCUGGUCUGCAGGUGUCUAGAUUUGGAUCCUAGCUCUGUUACUUACUACUUUGUGACUUUGAGCAAAUUCACGUCUCUGAAAGGACCAGAGACCAUGCUGGGAAGCCUGGCUGCUCUUUGAGGACUGAGAUGAACUUAGCAAUGCAGAGAAGAACAAAGAGAGGCUUGUGCUCACCGUGUUCCAGAGGGAUCACCGUGUUCCCUUUGUUCAUUUGAGGACAUGAAUACAACUAUGGUCUUUGGACAAAAGGCAUAUGCCAGGCAGUAUGAAUGGUCUCUCUUGUCUGUGCAAUUAGUAUGUAAGAGCACGUGAACUGGUGCCUGGGACCUCUACCUGUUUUAGUAUGAUAGCACCACAGUAAAGGGCCUGGACUUUGUAUGAGCUUGGGAAAAUCAUGUCACCUCUGCAAGUCUUGGUUUCCCUGGGUGUUAAAUGUCAAUUUAAGUAAAAUGCUAUCUACUUUGUUUUGGAGACUUUCUAUGAGAAUCUGAUAAACUAUAACCUGUGAAAGAGUUUCAAAAGUUGUAAAAGAUUGAAGGGUGAGUAUACGGUGCAUGAUCCUUUACAGGGUUCUUGAAAAUGCAGUUACUCCAAGGGGCAGUGCUAGCAGAAGCUCAUAGCUCAUUCUCCUGAUUAGAAAACCUUUUUGGGGAAAGGGCUCAGGUUUAUUUCUGGUUCUAACAUGCUCAGUUUAAUGCAACAUAUUUCAGCUUCUUAUGGAAUCUCUACCAUAUGCUAAGCCUGUGCCAGGCAAAAGGGGGUGGUGUGGCAUGGAGAUUAGUCAUAGAGAAGUUCUGUCCCCCAGGAUCACCAAAGGACCCAUCUUCCUCUGAUAGAGCCCUCUGCCGACUUAGUUGAUCUUCGCUCUUGGCAAAGCCACAUGUACGGUAGCCCAGGUCCUUUUGAAAGGUAGUGUUUGUGGCAAGAAUUAAAGCAAUAACACCCUACUUUGGAGGUACAAGCUCAAGGUGGUGAGGGUGAUGGCAGGAAGAGGCAAGUGAAUCAAGGAAAGAUGGAAGCAAUGCAAUGCCACCUGCCCCUCUGCUAGCCAGAGGUUUAUGUGAACCUUGCAGUGACACAUUAGUUCCUCAACAGGCACAGCCGCUUGGCGUACUGGGCUGCGUGGGAAGGUUGGUGAGGAAAAAACACGCUUUGAAGUAAUCCACAUUGGGAAGAAAAGAGGAUAUUUAUCUGUCCAAUUACUUUCCAGUUCCAUUUCUCACUGGUCAAGGUUAUAUCCAGAGGAAAUCAUAGCCCCUGGUGGAUGCUCAGUAAGCCAGAUCCCAUGCUCAUGAUACUGUGCUUCAUGCGAGUGGAAAAGUGGGGGAAAGCUUGGCACAAGUGGGCUCCAGCCCACAGAAAGAGAGAAAGAGACAGCCGGGAGCGUCUCAGAAGGCACACAGGUGUUUGGUCCUAUUCCCUGACCUUCUCCUACUCCAGGUUAGGAGAGCUUGGAAUCCAGUGGAGUGUGGGGGUGAAUAUGGCUCCACUUCUAAAUCCCUUCCUUCAUCUCCAUCCACUGGAAGCGAUUGCAUCCUGCUGACAGGUUCCUCAGCUCUGAAGCCUCAUCCAAGGGCUUAACAGGAACAGAGUGACUGCCGUGGCUCCACCUCAACCUCUCCUGCAGACCGAUCCAGCCUUAUCCUUUCCACAAUCCCUUACGAGAGGCCUGGAUUCUUAUUAAGAAACACUAUGGAUUUUUAGAGUAAAAAUGUCUAUAGAGAGACUUCAGAAACAGUCUGGGGAGAUUAUAAAGAAAUGUGGGCCAGUUGUCCAAGGAGAUUUUAUAGAAUAUUCAAUAGCACUCAUGUCAUAAAAGGCCUGUGGAGGUUUGCAUAGCUGAGGCUGGCCCUGAAUUAUGAUUCCCUGAUGCAGAGCCCAGCAAAAGCUCACAGCAUCCCAGACUAGGGCUUGAUGCUGCUGUGCUUGUAAAAAUAGAGCCACCUCACCUCACUCAAAUGCAGUGGGGAUAUUAAUUUCCAGGGCUGGAGUUCAAUUUCAUAGAAAGACAGAGUGGAAAAUAGAGCUGUCUUUUCAAUCCCAGUGGUCAUAAUAGAACCCCACCCUGCACCUCUCUGGAAACUGUCUCCCAGCCAGCUCCCAGACACACUGAAACGUACCUUGUGCUUUGCUUUCAAUGAUAACUGGAGCUGGGUAGCCACAGGGACAGCAAUUACUGUCCACAGAUGAGGAACCUGAGGCAUUUGGAGGUUAAUCUACUCUCUCACAGGCACAGAGCGAGGCAGAGGAUGUGCCAGUUUGAAAGUCCUCCUCCUGAGUGGGAGCAGACGACCACAGUUACAUUCCACUUUUAUGGAAGAAGGAGAGUUAUGAAGGUGCAGGCCUACUGUGUGCUAGGCCCUGCAUGAAGUGCUUGACAUUCACACUCAUUCAGUUUUACAGUGAACCUGACAGGUCAAUAUUUUCUCCAUUUAUUAGGAAACUGAGAUUCAGUGAGACAAGGACAUUUGUUCAAAUAAAUCUCGUAACUCUGAAGAGGCCUGGAUCUGAGAAGAAUGGGUGCCAGGUAGUCUGACUGGGCUAGUUUUGCCCCAUCAUGGCCCUGUGACAUCCGUUCUGCCUCCCAGCUAGACUGGACUCCCCCAGACCAGGAACUGUGUCCUGGCUCUUCCUAGCACCCAGCUCAGGGAGGGCUAUCAAGGCUGCUGAAAGCAGCUCAGUGAAUGUCAGUCUCUGAGCAGAUGGGAAGAACUGAGGAUGAAUUUGUCCACUUAAAUGGGAAUGGAAGCUUAAGAAUCAAGAUAUUUGAAGAUAAGGGAAACUGAGGUACAGAGGAGGGGAAGAGCCAUGAUUGACUUCAUGCAACUCAUCAGGGAGGGCACCCAGAUUUACACGUGGAUCUGUGUCACUACAAAGCAGUGCCCUUGACUUAACACUCCAUCACUUUCCAUACAAGCUUCAAACUGAACUCCACCUUCAUUAGCUUGGUGAGCGCAGACCGCUGAACUCUUCUAACAUCUGUCUUAGAGGUUAUGUGUUGGCUGCUGCGUUCAGAGCUAUCCUAAAAGUAACUGAAACAAGGGAUUUUUGACUCCAUGGCUAAACAGUUUCUGGGGAGCAGACCUUGAUUCUACCAUUACUUAGAAAACAAAUCAAAUUAGAGUCAGACUAGUGAUGUUGUCAGAACUUUUCAAACAUAAAGACCCAUGAAUGGACAUGUACACUUGGGAUCAAAAGCACUCUCCUCUUCCAAACAGCAGUCUACACUUGGCCUUUUGAGAGGCUGAGCUAUUGCCAAGGACUAUUUAGAUGGAAGAUUUGAUUGUUGGUCAAGGAGACACUGAAGAAGAGAUAAGAUGGUGUACUGGAAUGGAAGGAAGGCUCUGGACAUCAGAACUUUGGGCCACUGUACUGCUGUGUAAAUUUGCGAAACCUACUUAAUCCUUAUGGACUGUUUCCUCAUCUGGAAAAUGAGUUAAAUGAGAUCCAUUUUAUAAAAUUGUUGUAAUGAUUAUAUAAGUAAACACAUAGUAAUAUUA